rnacentral:rRNA from 1 species
ACAGAGGGGGCAAGCGUUGUUCGGAAUUACUGGGCGUAAAGGGCGCGUAGGCGGCCCACUAAGUCAGACGUGAAAUCCCACGGCUCAACCGUGGAACUGCGUCUGAGACUGGAGGGCUUGAAUUCGGGAGAGGGAUGCGGAAUUCCAGGUGUAGCGGUGAAAUGCGUAGAUAUCUGGAGGAACACCGGUGGCGAAGGCGGCAUCCUGGACCGACAUUGACGCUGAGGCGCGAAAGCCAGGGGAGCAAACGGGAUUAGAUACCCCGGUAGUCCUGGCCCUAAACGAUGAAUGCUUGGUGUGGCGGGUAUCGAUCCCUGCCGUGCCGAAGCUAACGCAUUAAGCAUUCCGCCUGGGGAGUACGGUCGCAAGGCUG